AUAGGGGAGCCGUAGGGAAACCGAGUCUUAACUGGGCGAAUGAGUUGCAGGGUAUAGACCCGAAACCCGGUGAUCUAGCCAUGGGCAGGUUGAAGGUUGGGUAACACUAACUGGAGGACCGAACCGACUAAUGUUGAAAAAUUAGCGGAUGACUUGUGGCUGGGGGUGAAAGGCCAAUCAAACCGGGAGAUAGCUGGUUCUCCCCGAAAGCUAUUUAGGUAGCGCCUCGUGAACUCAUCUUCGGGGGUAGAGCACUGUUUCGACUAGGGGGUCAUCCCGACUUACCAACUCGAUGCAAACUACGAAUACCGAAGAAUGUUAUCACGGGAGACACACGGCGGGUGCUAACGUUCGUCGUGAAGAGGGAAACAACCCAGACCGCCAGCUAAGGUCCCAAAGUCAUAGUUAAGUGGGAAACGAAGUGGGAAGGCUCAGACAGCCAGGAUGUUGGCUUAGAAGCAGCCACCAUUUAAAGAAAGCGUAAUAGCUCACUGGUCGAGUCGGCCUGCGCGGAAGAUGUAACGGGGCUAAACUAUGCACCGAAGCUGCGGCAGCGAUAUGUAAAUAUUGUUGGGUAGGGGAGCGUUCUGUAAGCCUGUGAAGGUGUGCUGUGAGGCAUGCUGGAGGUAUCAGAAGUGCGAAUGCUGACAUAAGUAACGAUAAUGCGGGUGAAAAACCCGCACGCCGGAAGACCAAGGGUUCCUGUCCAACGUUAAUCGGGGCAGGGUGAGUCGACCCCUAAGGCGAGGCAGAAAUGCGUAGUCGAUGGGAAACGGGUUAAUAUUCCCGUACUGGUGAUAAUUGCGAUGGGGGGACGGAGAAGGCUAGGCUAUCCGGGCGACGGUUGUCCCGGUUUAAGGAUGUAGGCAGGUGAAUUAGGCAAAUCCGGUUCACUAUAUGCUGAGGUCCGAUGACGAGUCACUACGGUGAUGAAGUAGCUCAUGCCCCGCUUCCAGGAAAAGCCUCUAAGCUCUAGAUUAUCAUUAAUCGUACCCCAAACCGACACAGGUGGUCAGGUAGAGAAUACUCAGGCGCUUGAGAGAACUCGGGUGAAGGAACUAGGCAAAAUGGUGCCGUAACUUCGGGAGAAGGCACGCUGGCAUUAGGUGAAGUGAUUUACUCAUGGAGCUGAAGCCAGUCGCAGAUACCAGCUGGCUGCAACUGUUUAUUAAAAACACAGCACUGUGCAAACACGAAAGUGGACGUAUACGGUGUGACGCCUGCCCGGUGCUGGAAGGUUAAUUGAUGGGGUUAUCCGUAAGGAGAAGCUCUUGAUCGAAGCCCCAGUAAACGGCGGCCGUAACUAUAACGGUCCUAAGGUAGCGAAAUUCCUUGUCGGGUAAGUUCCGACCUGCACGAAUGGCGUAAUGAUGGCCAGGCUGUCUCCACCCGAGACUCAGUGAAAUUGAACUCGCUGUGAAGAUGCAGUGUACCCGCGGCAAGACGGAAAGACCCCGUGAACCUUUACUAUAGCUUGACACUGAACAUUGAGCCUUGAUGUGUAGGAUAGGUGGGAGGCUUCGAAGCGUGGACGCCAGUCUGCGUGGAGCCAACCUUGAAAUACCACCCUUUAAUGUUUGAUGUUCUAACGUUGCCCCAUUAUCUGGGGUGCGGACAGUGUCUGGUGGGUAGUUUGACUGGGGCGGUCUCCUCCCAAAGAGUAACGGAGGAGCACGAAGGUUGGCUAAGCAUGGUCGGACAUCAUGCGGUUAGUGCAAAGGCAUAAGCCAGCUUGACUGCGAGAGUGACGGCUCGAGCAGGUACGAAAGUAGGUCUUAGUGAUCCGGUGGUUCUGAAUGGAAGGGCCAUCGCUCAACGGAUAAAAGGUACUCCGGGGAUAACAGGCUGAUACCGCCCAAGAGUUCAUAUCGACGGCGGUGUUUGGCACCUCGAUGUCGGCUCAUCACAUCCUGGGGCUGAAGUAGGUCCCAAGGGUACGGCUGUUCGCCGUUUAAAGUGGUACGCGAGCUGGGUUUAGAACGUCGUGAGACAGUUCGGUCCCUAUCUGCCGUGGGCGUUGGAAGAUUGAAAGGGGCUGCUCCUAGUACGAGAGGACCGGAGUGGACGCACCACUGGUGUUCGGGUUGUCAUGCCAAUGGCAUUGCCCGGUAGCUAAGUGCGGAAGAGAUAACCGCUGAAAGCAUCUAAGCGGGAAACUUGCCUUGAGAUGAGUCUUCCCUGACUCUUUAAGAGUCCUAAAGGAACGUUUAAGACUAAGACGUUGAUAGGUUGGGUGUGUAAGCGUAGCGAUACGUUGAGCUAACCAAUACUAAUGAACCGUGAGGCUUAACCUG
rnacentral:rRNA from 1 species